CUGGCUCAGGACGAACGCUGGCGGCGUGCCUAAUACAUGCAAGUCGAGCGGAGUUGAUGAGGUGCUUGCACCUCUGAUACUUAGCGGCGGACGGGUGAGUAACACGUGGGUAACCUGCCUGUAAGACUGGGAUAACAUUCGGAAACGAAUGCUAAUACCGGAUACGCGAUUUGGUCGCAUGACCGAAUCGGGAAAGAUGGAGCAAUCUAUCACUUACAGAUGGACCCGCGGCGCAUUAGCUAGUUGGUGAGGUAACGGCUCACCAAGGCGACGAUGCGUAGCCGACCUGAGAGGGUGAUCGGCCACACUGGGACUGAGACACGGCCCAGACUCCUACGGGAGGCAGCAGUAGGGAAUCUUCCGCAAUGGACGAAAGUCUGACGGAGCAACGCCGCGUGAGUGAUGAAGGUUUUCGGAUCGUAAAGCUCUGUUGCCAGGGAAGAAUGCUUGGGAGAGUAACUGCUCUCAAGGUGACGGUACCUGAGAAGAAAGCCCCGGCUAACUACGUGCCAGCAGCCGCGGUAAUACGUAGGGGGCAAGCGUUGUCCGGAAUUAUUGGGCGUAAAGCGCGCGCAGGCGGCCUUGUAAGUCUGUUGUUUAAACUUGGGGCUCAACCCCAAGUCGCAAGGGAAACUGCAAAGCUUGAGUACAGAAGAGGAAAGUGGAAUUCCACGUGUA
rnacentral:rRNA from 1 species